rnacentral:rRNA from 1 species
GAUCAUGGCUCAGAUUGAACGCUGGCGGCAUGCGUAACACAUGCAAGUCGAACGGUGUUUGGUGCUUGCACCAGACAUAGGUGGCGGACGGGUGAGUAAUGCGUAGGAAUCUGUCUUAGAGAGGGGGACAACCCGAGGAAACUUGGGCUAAAACCGCAUAUUCUCGAGAGAGGAAAGCAGGGGACCGGAAACGGCCUUGUGCUCUAAGGUGAGCCUACGUCGGAUUAGCUAGUUGGUAGGGUAAAAGCCUACCAAGGCGAUGAUCUGUAGCUGGUCUGAGAGGACGGACAGCCACACUGGGACUGAGACACGGUCCAGACUCCUACGGGAGGCAGCAGUGGGGAAUAUUGGACAAUGGGGGGAACCCUGAUCCAGCGAUGCCGCGUGUGUGAAGAAGGCCUGCGGGUUGUAAAGCACUUUCAGUGGGAAAGAGAAGCGUCUUGUGAAUAAUGGGACGUGGAGACGUUACUCACAGAAGAAGCACCGGCUAACUCUGUG